rnacentral:rRNA from 1 species
AGUGAACGCUGGCGGCGUGGAUUAGGCAUGCAAGUCGAACGAUACCGCAAGGUAUAGUGGCAAAAGGGUGAGUAACACGCGAGCAAUCUACCUUCGAGUGGGGAAUAACACUGGGAAACCGGUGCUAAAACCGCAUAAGACCACGGCCUGGCAUCAGGCUGAGGUAAAAUGGGGGGACCGCAAGGCCUCUAGCUUGAAGAUGAGCUCACGUCCUAUCAGCUUGUUGGCGGGUAACGCCACAAGGCUUUGACGGUAGCUGGUCUGAGAGGAUGGUCAGCCACAUUGGGACUGAGACACUGCCCAGACUCCUACGGGUGGCAG